rnacentral:misc_RNA from 1 species
UUUCCGUAGGUGAACCUGCGGAAGGAUCAUUAAAGAGAAUAUGCCCUUCGGGGUAGAUCUCCCACCCUUUGUUUAUAUUACCUUUGUUGCUUUGGCAGGCCCGUCUUCGGACCACCGGCUUCGGCUGGUCAGUGCUUGCCAGAGGACCCAAAACUCUUAUCAUUAAUGUCGUCUGAGUACUAUAUAAUAGUUAGAACUUUCAACAACGGAUCUCUUGGUUCUG